UGGGGAAUCUUGGACAAUGGGCGCAAGCCUGAUCCAGCCAUGCCGCGUGAGUGAAGAAGGCCUUCGGGUUGUAAAGCUCUUUUGUCAGGGACGAUAAUGACGGUACCUGAAGAAUAAGCCCCGGCAAACUUCGUGCCAGCAGCCGCGGUAAUACGAAGGGGGCUAGCGUUGUUCGGAAUUACUGGGCGUAAAGCGCACGUAGGCGGAUUGUUAAGUCAGAGGUGAAAUCCCGGAGCUCAACUUCGGAACUGCCUUUGAUACUGGCAAUCUAGAGUCCGGAAGAGGUUAGUGGAAUUCCCAGUGUAGAGGUGAAAUUCGUAGAUAUUGGGAAGAACACCAGUGGCGAAGGCGGCUAACUGGUCCGGUACUGACGCUGAGGUGCGAAAGCGUGGGGAGCAAACAGGAUUAGAUACCCUAGUAGUCCCUGAGCGGGCUGGCAAGGCGCAU
rnacentral:rRNA from 1 species